rnacentral:rRNA from 1 species
CCUACGGGGGGCAGCAGUGGGGAAUAUUGGGCAAUGGGCGCAAGCCUGACCCAGCAACGCCGCGUGAAGGAAGAAGGCUUUCGGGUUGUAAACUUCUUUUAAGAGGGAAGAGCAGAAGACGGUACCUCUUGAAUAAGCCACGGCUAACUACGUGCCAGGAGCCGCGGUAAUACGUAGGUGGCAAGCGUUGUCCGGAUUUACUGGGUGUAAAGGGCGGGCAGACGGGAAUACAAGCCAGUUGUGAAAUCCCGCGGCGCACCCGCGGAACUGCAUUUGAAACUGUUUUUCUUGAGUACCGGAGAGGUCAGCGGAAUUCCUUGUGUAGCGGUGAAAGGCGUAGAUAUAAGGAAGAACACCAGUGGCGAAGGCGGAUGACUGGACGGCAACUGACGGUGAGGCGCGAAGGCGUGGGGAGCAAACAGGAUUAGAUACCCGGGUAGUC